UUUCUCUGGAAGGGUGUAUCUAGGACAUCAGCCUACCCACAGUUCUGGGCUGCGUCUGUUACUGCCUUGCUUACCCUGCCCCCCACCCAUAACUUCAGAGAAAGGAAAACGGACUGAGCCUCAGCACCCACACACCAUGGCUGCCUUGAAUCCAGAGUCAUCAAUACUGGAGUCUUAAAGAGAAAACCAAGAAAGUCUCAUGUCACCGAGCAGGCUGAAGAGGGCAAGUGAAACCCUGAGGCAGCCAAGAUCUCUGCUGGAAAUCCAAAAUAUCAAUUCUAUGUAUUCAGGGAACAAUCUGCAGAACAUUGUGAGAUGAUGCAGUUAAAAUAUCGUCUUCAUAGAGAUGAGGUCAUGACUAUAAACACAAUCUUUUAAAGCAUGAAUGAAUAGUCCUCCUCUUGAAGGGCAGUUGCUUGCAAGGGGAUGUCACUGUCUUUGAGAGCUUCAAAUUUUUGAAAAUUCAAGUUGUGUAUAGAAGAAAAUAUCACUCCUUCUUAAACUGA
ensembl:lincRNA Gm44197 predicted gene, 44197